rnacentral:rRNA from 1 species
UGGCCAGACUCCUACGGGAGGCAGCAGUGAGGAAUAUUGGUCAAUGGGCGGGAGCCUGAACCAGCCAAGCCGCGUGAAGGAAGAAGGCGCCAAGCGUCGUAAACUUCUUUUGUCGGGGAACAAAGGGCGCCACGUGUGGCGUUGUGAGUGUACCCGAAGAAAAAGCAUCGGCUAACUCCGUGCCAGCAGCCGCGGUAAUACGGAGGAUGCGAGCGUUAUCCGGAUUUAUUGGGUUUAAAGGGUGCGUAGGCGGGACCUUAAGUCAGCGGUAAAAUUGCGGUGCUCAACGCCGUAGAGCCGUUGAAACUGGGGUUCUUGAGUGAGCGAGAAGUAUGCGGAAUGCGUGGUGUAGCGGUGAAAUGCAUAGAUAUCACGCAGAACCCCGAUUGCGAAGGCAGCAUACCGGCGCCCUACUGACGCUGAGGCACGAAAGUGCGGGUAUCGAACAGGAUUAGAUACCCCAGUACG